GGGUGCGAUCAUUCCAGCACUAAUGCACCGGAUCCCUUCAGAACUCCGCAGUUAAGCGUGCUUGGGCGAGAGUAGUACUAGGAUGGGUGACCCCCUGGAAAGUCCUCGUGUUGCACCCU
rfam:Gossypium raimondii chromosome 6, whole genome shotgun sequence.